UACAGAGGGUGCAAGCGUUGUUCGGAAUUAUUGGGCGUAAAGGGCGUGUAGGCGGUCUGCUAAGUCAUGUGUGAAAUCCCUCGGCUUAACCGAGGAACGACGCAUGAAACUGGCAAGCUAGAGUACCAAAGAGGGGGGUGGAAUUCCCGGUGUAGCGGUGAAAUGCGCAGAUAUCAGGAAGAACACCAAUGGCGAAGGCAGCUCUCUGGGACGGUACUGACGCUGAGACGCGAAAGCGUGGGGAGCGAACAGG
rnacentral:rRNA from 1 species